rnacentral:rRNA from 1 species
GGGUGCUUACCAUGCAGUCGACGAUGAACCACUUCGGUGGGGAUUAGUGGCGAACGGGUGAGUAACACGUGGGCAAUCUGCCCUGCACUCUGGGACAAGCCCUGGAAACGGGGUCUAAUACCGGAUACUGAUCGCCUUGGGCAUCCUUGGUGAUCGAAAGCUCCGGCGGUGCAGGAUGAGCCCGCGGCCUAUCAGCUUGUUGGUGAGGUAAUGGCUCACCAAGGCGACGACGGGUAGCCGGCCUGAGAGGGCGACCGGCCACACUGGGACUGAGACACGGCCCAGACUCCUACGGGAGGCAGCAGUGGGGAAUAUUGCACAAUGGGCGAAAGCCUGAUGCAGCGACGCCGCGUGAGGGAUGACGGCCUUCGGGUUGUAAACCUCUUUCAGCAGGGAAGAAGCGAAAGUGACGGUACCUGCAGAAGAAGCGCCGGCUAACUACGUGCCAGCAGCCGCGGUAAUACGUAGGGCGCGAGCGUUGUCCGGAAUUAUUGGGCGUAAAGAGCUCGUAGGCGGCUUGUCGCGUCGGUUGUGAAAGCCCGGGGCUUAACCCCGGUCUGCAGUCGAUACGGGCAGGCUAGAGUUCGGUAGGGGAGAUCGGAAUUCCUGGUGUAGCGGUGAAAUGCGCAGAUAUCAGGAGGAACACCGGUGGCGAAGGCGGAUCUCUGGGCCGAUACUGACGCUGAGGAGCGAAAGCGUGGGGGAGCGAACAGGAUUAGAUACCCUGGUAGUCCACGCCGUAAACGGUGGGCACUAGGUGUGGGCGACAUUCCACGUCGUCCGUGCCGCAGCUAACGCAUUAAGUGCCCCGCCUGGGGAGUA